rnacentral:rRNA from 1 species
ACUCCUACGGGAGGCAGCAGCUAAGAAUAUUCCGCAAUGGACGAAAGUCUGACGGAGCGACGCCGCGUGGAUGAAGAAGGCCGAAAGGUUGUAAAGUUCUUUUGCUAGGGGAGAAUAAGUGAGGGAGGGAAUGCCCUCANGAUGACAAGGACUAGCGAAUAAGCCCCGGCCAACUACGUGCCAGCAGCCGCGGUAACACGUAGGGGGCGAGCGUUGUUCGGAAUUACUGGGCGUAAAGGGCAUGUAGGCGGCUUGGUAAGCCUGGCGUGAAAGNCUGCAGCUUAACUGUAGGGAUGCGUUGGGAACUGCUUAGCUUGAGUUACGGAGAGGGAGCUGGAAUUNCUGGUGUAGGGGUGAAAUCUGUAGAUAUCAGGAAGAACACCGAUGGCGAAGGCAAGCUUCUGGUCGAUAACUGACGCUGAGGUGCGAAAGUGUGGGGAUCAAACAGGAUUAGAUACCCUGGUAGUC